rnacentral:rRNA from 1 species
AGAGUUUGAUCCUGGCUCAGGAUGAACGCUAGCGGCAGGCCUAAUACAUGCAAGUCGAACGAUACUUUCCAGCUUGCUGGAGAGGAAAGUGGCGCACGGGUGCGUAACGCGUAUGCAACCUACCUUAAUCAGGGGGAUAGCCCGAAGAAAUUCGGAUUAACACCGCAUAAAAUCACAGUACAGCAUUGUACAAUGAUCAAAUAUUAAUAGGAUUAAGAUGGGCAUGCGUGACAUUAGUUAGUUGGCGGGGUAACGGCCCACCAAGACCACGAUGUCUAGGGGAUCUGAGAGGAUGACCCCCCACACUGGUACUGAGACACGGACCAGACUCCUACGGGAGGCAGCAGUAAGGAAUAUUGGUCAAUGGAGGCAACUCUGAACCAGCCAUGCCGCGUGCAGGAAGACAGCCCUCUGGGUCGUAAACUGCUUUUAUUCGGGAAUAAACCUCAUUACGAGUAGUGAGCUGAAUGUACCGAAGGAAUAAGGAUCGGCUAACUCCGUGCCAGCAGCCGCGGUAAUAC